AUUUGGGUCUCAACCCAACCCAGGUUAGUGCUUGGAUUACUAUAUUGAAGAUGUUGUGGUUAUGUUUCACUAUGUUGGUGGUUUGAUUUUUGUUCAGAAUGUUGCAAUUAUAUGAAUGUUAUUUUCUUGUUGGGGAAAUUUGAGUAGAAAUGAAGGGUUGGUUACAGGGUAACAUCAAAGUUAAAAUAGAAAAGGUAAACAUUUUUAUGCAAACAUAUUUGACGUUCUUAUUGAUAGAUGGAUAGCGGCUGUUAUGCGUAAUUCAUAGGAAUGUAACAUUUUAGUAAAUUAAUAUAGCCUCAUAUUGUUUAAAUCCUGAAAUUUGAGUUGAUAAGAGUAUUGGCUUCAUUGUUGGCCUGACUAUAAACUCUCAUUUCUCAAAGUUGAUACUCCGAAUAAUAUUGCAACUCAAGUAUUUUACUAGGCAUUCUUCAUGUGAGCUCCAUGCGGUACUGCAGUUUCUGAAACAAAUUGCUCAUGCGAAAGAAAAUAUUGGUGGUAUUAAAAAAAUAUAUUAGUGGAGCUUUUCGUUAGUACUUCAAAUGCAGUU
rnacentral:misc_RNA from 1 species